CUUCGGGUGAGCGGCGGACGGGUUAGUAACGCGUGGGAACGUACCCUUCUCUACGGAAUAGCCUUUGGAAACGAAGAGUAAUACCGUAUACGCCCUUUGGGGGAAAGAUUUAUCGGAGAAGGAUCGGCCCGCGUUAGAUUAGAUAGUUGGUGGGGUAACGGCCUACCAAGUCUACGAUCUAUAGCUGGUUUUAGAGGAUGAUCAGCAACACUGGGACUGAGACACGGCCCAGACUCCUACGGGAGGCAGCAGUGGGGAAUCUUAGACAAUGGGCGCAAGCCUGAUCUAGCCAUGCCGCGUGAGUGAUGAAGGCCUUAGGGUCGUAAAGCUCUUUCGCCUGUGAUGAUAAUGACAGUAGCAGGUAAAGAAACCCCGGCUAACUCCGUGCCAGCAGCCGCGGUAAUACGGAGGGGGUUAGCGUUGUUCGGAAUUACUGGGCGUAAAGCGCACGUAGGCGGAUUGGAAAGUUGGGGGUGAAAUCCCGGGGCUCAACCCCGGAACUGCCUCCAAAACUAUCAGUCUAGAGUUCGAGAGAGGUGAGUGGAAUUCCAAGUGUAGAGGUGAAAUUCGUAGAUAUUUGGAGGAACACCAGUGGCGAAGGCGGCUCACUGGCUCGAUACUGACGCUGAGGUGCGAAAGUGUGGGGAGCAAACAGGAUUAGAUACCCUGGUAGUCCACACCGUAAACGAUGAAUGCCAGUCGUCGGGCAGUAUACUGUUCGGUGACACACCUAACGGAUUAAGCAUUCCGCCUGGGGAGUACGGUCGCAAGAUUAAAACUUAAAUGAAUUGACGG
rnacentral:rRNA from 1 species